rnacentral:rRNA from 1 species
AACGAACGCUGGCGGCAGGCUUAACACAUGCAAGUCGAGCGCCCCGCAAGGGGAGUGGCAGACGGGUGAGUAACGCGUGGGAAUCUACCCAGAUCUUCGGAACAACUGAGGGAAACUUCAGCUAAUACCGGAUACGCCCUACGGGGAAAGAUUUAUCGGUUCUGGAUGAGCCCGCGCUGGAUUAGCUAGUUGGUGGGGUA